GGAAAACACAGAGUGUCCUUGAGAAGAAAGGAUACUCUACCCAGAAGGAGGUAGAGAAUGGUGUCAUCGCUACUGACGAACAUGGUGACCAGUUCGUCAUUAAAAAGAUCAAAUUGUAUGAGACAUCUGUCCUGAACGCAAGUGCUGGAGAAAUUUUCUCAAAGGUUGAAUGCCUCAGACAGAUUAGUCACCCCCACAUUGUAAGCUACAAAAACUCAUUUCUAGAGGAUAACUGCUACUAUAUAGUGACAGACCAUUGUGCAAAGGGAAAUCUCUCUCAGAAGAUACAAGAGCAGAUGACUAACCCUACAGAAGAGUACUCUGAGAAGGUAACUGAAGUAAUGACUAGAAGAUUCCACACCGCAACUGUUUUUAUUUUAGACUAAAUACUUUGAUACCUUC